rnacentral:rRNA from 1 species
UACGUAGGGUGCGAGCGUUAAUCGGAAUUACUGGGCGUAAAGCGUGCGCAGGCGGUUUGGUAAGACAGAUGUGAAAUCCCCGGGCUCAACCUCGGGAAUUGCAUUUGUGACUGCCCGACUAGAGUGUGUCAGAGGGGGGUAGAAUUCCACGGUGUAGCAGUGAAAUGCGUAGAGAUGUGGAGGAAUACCGAUGGCGAAGGCAGCCCCCUGGGAUAACACUGACGCUCAUGCACGAAGCGUGGGGAGCAAACAGG